rnacentral:rRNA from 1 species
CAGGUCUUGACAUCCUCUGACAACCCUAGAGAUAGGGCUUCCCCUUCGGGGGCAGAGUGACAGGUGGUGCAUGGUUGUCGUCAGCUCGUGUUGUGAAAUGUUGGGUUAAGUCCCGCAACGAGCGCAACCCUUAUCCUUUGUUGCCAGCACGUAAUGGUGGGAACUCAAAGGAGACUGCCGGUGAUAAACCGGAGGAAGGUGGGGAUGACGUCAAGUCAUCAUGGCCCUUACGAGUAGGGCUACACACGUGCUACAAUGGCAUAUACAAAGAGAAGCGAACUCGCGAGAGCAAGCGGACCUCAUAAAGUAUGUCGUAGUCCGGAUUGGAGUCUGCAACUCGACUCCAUGAAGUCGGAAUCGCUAGUAAUCGUAGAUCAGAAUGCUACGGUGAAUACGUUCCCGGGCCUUGUACACACCGA